CGCGCGCCCCCAUUCAGCUAUCGGCGGAAGGUCGUCGGUGCAUCCCCGCGAUAAUUAUCGAUCAAUCUGAGCGAUGCAAGCCCUUCGCCUAAGAUAUUUAACACGGAUAUAAACGAUCAAAGCAAGGCCUUCUCAUCGUACAUUUUCUAAUAUGUUGGCCCUUGAUUUUUCUCUGACUUUUGGCCGAUCAAGUAGGCCGGGCACUGGGCGAAAACUGUCGAGAUAUCAGAUCUAUUGGGAUACAGUCAGUCCUUGCUCACAGUUGCUCGAGGCAACAGCAUUUCAAAAUUUACAAAUUAUUCAAAUUCCAAAAAAAUAUGCUGGAUUGUUACCCCUUUUGUGCACUGUCUGUGUCUGCUGAAUGAUUCUGUCUGCUGUUCAAAGGCUGCCACCUUUCUCCGAGGCGUCGUCCAGAAUCUAAACAUCCUUGACCGCUACAUCCUGGAACCAGCUUUCGUGCAUCUGGGUCAACGCAACAUUCUCCAGCCAGCCAAGGAUUAAGCACCCCCUCUCUAAGAGCUGAUACUAGAAGCUGCAAUCCAUGAAGGCCUUGCUCGAUCCGGGAAUCGUAGUGCAGUAAGUGCAAAAUUCUUUACCAGUUGCUCGACCAUAGGCGAUCGUAGGCGGCAAUGACGACAAAGUUGUAUGAAAUCCACACGGAUCCGAUCUAGUGCCAUGGAAACCCAAAAGGCAUGCGAAACAUUUGUGUAGAUCUCAUAGAACUUGGUCUUCAUUGGCGCCUAUGACUGCUUAUGAACCGGGAACUGGAUGGAGUUUUCAGUGGGUGCACUCGAACAUCCCCCCUCCAGUCCACGGCGUCGUGGGAUAUUCCCACCGUAAGAUCGCUGAUCUGCUCCGACAAGCUCCGUCUCGUUCUCGACGAAGUACAAUUGGCCGUACUGGACUCAGCGGUGGAUGGUUAAAGGCUUCGCACAUGCGUCGGGAUGUCGUCCUUGGGGCAGUACACUCCCAGCGGUAACAUCCGCUUUAAGUUCGAGCUCCCAAUUUUCAAAGAUCGUUGAAUAAAUGCAUCGAAAGAUGCUCCACAGCUUA